rnacentral:rRNA from 1 species
CAGCCGCCGCGGGAAUACGUAGGGCGCAAGCGUUGUCCGGAAUUAUUGGGCGUAAAGAGCUCGUAGGCGGUCUGUCGCGUCUGGUGUGAAAUCCCGAGGCUCAACCUCGGGCUUGCAUCGGGUACGGGCAGACUAGAGUGCGGUAGGGGAGACUGGAAUUCCUGGUGUAGCGGUGGAAUGCGCAGAUAUCAGGAGGAACACCGAUGGCGAAGGCAGGUCUCUGGGCCGCAACUGACGCUGAGGAGCGAAAGCAUGGGGAGCGAACAGGAUUAGAGACCCGUGUAGUCCCUGUCUCUUAUAC